GUCUAUGGCCAUACUACUUUGAACAAGCCGGAUUCCAUCUGAUCUUGGAAGCUAAGCAGGAUCGGGCCUGGUUAGUACUUGGAUGGGAGACCACAUAGGAAGACCAGGUGCUGUAGGUG
rnacentral:rRNA from 1 species